AUUGAACGCUGGCGGCAUGCCUAACACAUGCAAGUCGAACGGUAACAGGCCUACGGUUGCUGACGUGCGGCGAAGGGGUGGGUAAUGGAUCGGAAUGUACCAAGAGGCGGGGGGUAACGCAGCAAAUGCUGUGCUCAGACCGCAUGUGAGCUGAGGAUGGAAGCGGGGGACCGGGCAGCAAUGGUUCGCCUCGCGCCUUUGUAGCGGCAGAUGUCGGAUUAGCUAGUUGGUGGGGUAAAGGCCUACCAAGGCGACGAUCCGUAGCUGGUCUGAGAGGAUGACCAGCCACACUGGGACUGAGACACGGCCCAGACUCCUACGGGAGGCAGCAGUGGGGAAUGUUGGACAAUGGGCGCAAGCCUGAUCCAGCAAUGCCGCGUGCGGGAAGAAGGCCUUCGGGUUGUAAACCGCUUUUGGCAGGAACGAAACGGUGUCCGCUAAUACCGGGCGCUAAUGACGGUACCUGCAGAAUAAGCACCGGCUAACUACGUG
rnacentral:rRNA from 1 species